rfam:Citrus clementina cultivar Clemenules unplaced genomic scaffold scaffold_8, whole genome shotgun sequence.
GAAAAGUAAGUCUGUCAGCUUAGCCAAGGUGACUGUCUGGAACCAAAGUAAAAGUUUGUAGUUAUUUAUUUUUAUAGAAGAAGAAUUGAAUGAGUUAUCCACACUUACUCAGAAGGAGCGGGCAAGUCAUUCUUGGCUAUCAAACAAAACUUCAAUC